rnacentral:rRNA from 1 species
GUUGUUGGGUAGGGGAGCGUUCUGUAAGCCUGCGAAGGUGGCCUGUGAGGGUUGCUGGAGGUAUCAGAAGUGCGAAUGCUGACAUAAGUAACGAUAAAGCGGGUGAAAAGCCCGCUCGCCGGAAGACCAAGGGUUCCUGUCCAACGUUAAUCGGGGCAGGGUGAGUCGACCCCUAAGGCGAGGCCGAAAGGCGUAGUCGAUGGGAAACGGGUUAAUAUUCCCGUACUUGGUGUUACUGCGAAGGGGGGACGGAGAAGGCUAUGUUGGCCGGGCGACGGUUGUCCCGGUUUAAGCGUGUAGGUGUGUGUUCCAGGUAAAUCCGGUUCACUUUAACACUGAGGCGUGAUGACGAGGCACUACGGUGCUGAAGCAACAAAUGCCCUGCUUCCAGGAAAAGCCUCUAAGCAUCAGGUAACAUCAAAUCGUACCCCAAACCGACACAGGUGGUCAGGUAGAGAAUACCAAGGCGCUUGAGAGAACUCGGGUGAAGGAACUAGGCAAAAUGGUGCCGUAACUUCGGGAGAAGGCACGCUGACACGUAGGUGAAGUGAUUUACUCAUGGAGCUGAAGUCAGUCGAAGAUACCAGCUGGCUGCAACUGUUUAUUAAAAACACAGCACUGUGCAAACACGAAAGUGGACGUAUACGGUGUGACGCCUGCCCGGUGCCGGAAGGUUAAUUGAUGGGGUCAGCGCAAGCGAAGCUCCUGAUCGAAGCCCCGGUAAACGGCGGCCGUAACUAUAACGGUCCUAAGGUAGCGAAAUUCCUUGUCGGGUAAGUUCCGACCUGCACGAAUGGCGUAAUGAUGGCCAGGCUGUCUCCACCCGAGACUCAGUGAAAUUGAACUCGCUGUGAAGAUGCAGUGUACCCGCGGCAAGACGGAAAGACCCCGUGAACCUUUACUAUAGCUUGACACUGAACAUUGAGCCUUGAUGUGUAGGAUAGGUGGGAGGCUUUGAAGUGUGGACGCCAGUCUGCAUGGAGCCGGCCUUGAAAUACCACCCUUUAAUGUUUGAUGUUCUAACGUGGACCCGUGAUCCGGGUUGCGGACAGUGUCUGGUGGGUAGUUUGACUGGGGCGGUCUCCUCCUAAAGAGUAACGGAGGAGCACGAAGGUUGGCUAAUCCUGGUCGGACAUCAGGAGGUUAGUGCAAUGGCAUAAGCCAGCUUGACUGCGAGCGUGACGGCGCGAGCAGGUGCGAAAGCAGGUCAUAGUGAUCCGGUGGUUCUGAAUGGAAGGGCCAUCGCUCAACGGAUAAAAGGUACUCCGGGGAUAACAGGCUGAUACCGCCCAAGAGUUCAUAUCGACGGCGGUGUUUGGCACCUCGAUGUCGGCUCAUCACAUCCUGGGGCUGAAGUAGGUCCCAAGGGUAUGGCUGUUCGCCAUUUAAAGUGGUACGCGAGCUGGGUUUAGAACGUCGUGAGACAGUUCGGUCCCUAUCUGCCGUGGGCGCUGGAGAACUGAGGGGGGCUGCUCCUAGUACGAGAGGACCGGAGUGGACGCAUCACUGGUGUUCGGGUUGUCAUGCCAAUGGCACUGCCCGGUAGCUAAAUGCGGAAGAGAUAAGUGCUGAAAGCAUCUAAGCACGAAACUUGCCCCGAGAUGAGUUCUCCCUGAGACUUAGAGUCUCCUGAAGGAACGUUGAAGACGACGACGUUGAUAGGCCGGGUGUGUAAGCGCAGCGAUGCGUUGAGCUAACCGGUACUAAUGAACCGUGAGGCUUAACCUUACAACGCCGAAG